rnacentral:ribozyme from 13 species
UAAAAAAAAAAAAAAAAAAAAAAAAAAAAAAAAAAAAAAAAA